UACGGAGGAGGCAAGCGUUAUCCGGAAUUAUUGGGCGUAAAGAGUCCGUAGGUGGGUAACCAAGUCAGUUGUUAAAUAGUGAAGCUUAACUUCAUAGAGGCGACUGAAACUGGUUAUCUAGAGUGUGGUAGGGGUAGAGGGAAUUUCCAGUGUAGCGGUGAAAUGCGUAGAUAUUGGAAAGAACACCGGUGGCGAAAGCGCUCUACUGGGCCUGCACUGACACUGAGGGACGAAAGCUAGGGGAGCGAAAGGG
rnacentral:rRNA from 1 species